AAACCAGGUUGUGGACAUUGACGAAGCAAACCUUUGCAUCUUUCCCAUUCCUCAUAAUAGCACUCCGAAUCAAGUUAUGAAAAUAUAGUGAUCUCAUCUCUCAACUU
rnacentral:snoRNA from 1 species